rnacentral:rRNA from 1 species
GGAUGUUCAUAACCCUUUGUUGUCCGACUCUGUUGCCUCCGGGGCGACCCUGCCUUCGGGCGGGGGCUCCGGGUGGACACUUCAAACUCUUGCGUAACUUUGCAGUCUGAGUAAACUUAAUUAAUAAAUUAAAACUUUUAACAACGGAUCUCUUGGUUCUGGCAUCGAUGAAGAACGCAGCGAAAUGCGAUAAGUAAUGUGAAUUGCAGAAUUCAGUGAAUCAUCGAAUCUUUGAACGCACAUUGCGCCCCCUGGUAUUCCGGGGGGCAUGCCUGUUCGAGCGUCAUUUCACCACUCAAGCCUCGCUUGGUAUUGGGCAUCGCGGUCCGCCGCGUGCCUCAAAUCGACCGGCUGGGUCUUCUGUCCCCUAAGCGUUGUGGAAACUAUUCGCUAAAGGGUGUUCGGGAGGCUACGCCGUAAAACAACCCCAUUUCUAAGGUUGACCUCGGAUCAGGUAGGGAUACCCGCUGAACUUAAGCAUAUCAAUAAGCGGAGGA